GAUGGUCUAGUGCUUAGAGCGCCCGCCUCGAAUGCGUGUGGUCCUGGUUUCGAACCCCAGCCUAGUCA